rnacentral:rRNA from 1 species
UCAGUGUGUGUGUUAGUGGAAGCGUCUGGAAAGGCGCGCGAUACAGGGUGACAGCCCCGUACACAAAAAUGCACAUGCUGUGAGCUCGAUGAGUAGGGCGGGACACGUGGUAUCCUGUCUGAAUAUGGGGGGACCAUCCUCCAAGGCUAAAUACUCCUGACUGACCGAUAGUGAACCAGUACCGUGAGGGAAAGGCGAAAAGAACCCCGGCGAGGGGAGUGAAAAAGAACCUGAAACCGUGUACGUACAAGCAGUGGGAGCACGCUUAGGCGUGUGACUGCGUACCUUUUGUAUAAUGGGUCAGCGACUUAUAUUCUGUAGCAAGGUUAACCGAAUAGGGGAGCCGAAGGGAAACCGAGUCUUAACUGGGCGUUAAGUUGCAGGGUAUAGACCCGAAACCCGGUGAUCUAGCCAUGGGCAGGUUGAAGGUUGGGUAACACUAACUGGAGGACCGAACCGACUAAUGUUGAAAAAUUAGCGGAUGACUUGUGGCUGGGGGUGAAAGGCCAAUCAAACCGGGAGAUAGCUGGUUCUCCCCGAAAGCUAUUUAGGUAGCGCCUCGUGAAUUCAUCUCCGGGGGUAGAGCACUGUUUCGGCAAGGGGGUCAUCCCGACUUACCAACCCGAUGCAAACUGCGAAUACCGGAGAAUGUUAUCACGGGAGACACACGGCGGGUGCUAACGUCCGUCGUGAAGAGGGAAACAACCCAGACCGCCAGCUAAGGUCCCAAAGUCAUGGUUAAGUGGGAAACGAUGUGGGAAGGCCCAGACAGCCAGGAUGUUGGCUUAGAAGCAGCCAUCAUUUAAAGAAAGCGUAAUAGCUCACUGGUCGAGUCGGCCUGCGCGGAAGAUGUAACGGGGCUAAACCAUGCACCGAAGCUGCGGCAGCGACGCUUAUGCGUUGUUGGGUAGGGGAGCGUUCUGUAAGCCUGCGAAGGUGUGCUGUGAGGCAUGCUGGAGGUAUCAGAAGUGCGAAUGCUGACAUAAGUAACGAUAAAGCGGGUGAAAAGCCCGCUCGCCGGAAGACCAAGGGUUCCUGUCCAACGUUAAUCGGGGCAGGGUGAGUCGACCCCUAAGGCGAGGCCGAAAGGCGUAGUCGAUGGGAAACAGGUUAAUAUUCCUGUACUUGGUGUUACUGCGAAGGGGGGACGGAGAAGGCUAUGUUGGCCGGGCGACGGUUGUCCCGGUUUAAGCGUGUAGGCUGGUUUUCCAGGCAAAUCCGGAAAAUCAA